UGACCCGCUCGCCAUUGGCCUCGGCGAUUAAGUCGAUAUAAAAUGAGGGACUUAUGAUAGAGUUUUGUCUAGUAAGUUUAAGGUUGUUGUCCUACACAAGGAGGACAAACGUACGUAGUUCUCCCAAAGAGAAUACGCAGGAUUAAUACUGGCAUCCUACCCGAGGAGGAUGGCCGUACAUAUCCUACCUAAGUAAGAUAUGUAGAUUCCGUUUUAAUUCUUUAACCCAUUCCCAAACCAACGGGAAUCCCAUGCCUUAGAAAGUGUGUGAACUCACCUCGGUUUGCUCGGUUAGAUUCUCAAAUAUAGCUAACAGUCAAGGUCGGUCAAUCACGUCCUAAUAUAAUUUACCAGUUAUUGUAUAGCGAUAAGAUUGUUCACCGAAUGAUUGUUCUUACUACUAGCUUAUAGCUAGGGUAGAAUCUAUU
rnacentral:lncRNA from 1 species